rnacentral:misc_RNA from 1 species
GAUGAAGAACGCAGCGAAAUGCGAUAAGUAAUGUGAAUUGCAGAAUUCAGUGAAUCAUCGAAUCUUUGAACGCACCUUGCACCCUUUGGCAUUCCGAAGGGUAUGCUCGUUUGAGUGUCAUUGUACUCUCACACUUCCGAUCUUUGGAUUGGGAGCGGUGGACUUGGGUGUUGCUGCUUACUGUGGCUCACCUCAAAUCGAUUCGUGCACCUCUUGGUUGGACAUAGUACGGCGUGAUAAGUGUCUUCGCAGGCACCUCAGUAGAGGGUGGCUGAUCGGGAGCUCUGCUUCAAACCGUCCUCGGACAACAACUGACAACUUGACCUCAAAUCGAGUAGGACUACCCGCUGAACUUAAGCAUAUCAAUAAGCGGAGGA